rnacentral:rRNA from 1 species
AACGAACGCUGGCGGCGUGCCUAACACAUGCAAGUCGUACGCGAAAGCCCGCAAGGGUGAGUAGAGUGGCGCACGGGUGAGUAACACGUGGGCAAUUUGCCCUCGAGUGGGGAAUAACCUUCCGAAAGGAGGGCUAAUACCGCAUGACCCGGUAGGGACUCAGGUCCCGGCCGGCAAAGAUGGCCUCUGCUUGCAAGCUAUCGCUUGAGGAGAAGCUCGCGCCCCAUUAGGUAGUUGGUGAGGUAACGGCCCACCAAGCCUACGAUGGGUAGCCGGCCUGAGAGGGUGGCCGGCCACACUGGCACUGAGAUACGGGCCAGACUCCUACGGGUGGCUG